rnacentral:rRNA from 1 species
UACGGGGGGGGCAAGCGUUAAUCGGAAUUACUGGGCGUAAAGCGUGCGCAGGCGGUGAUGUAAGACAGAUGUGAAAGCCCCCGGCUCAACUGGGGAGGGUCACGCGAUACUGCUCGACUUGAAGGCAGGAGAGGGAAGUGGAAUUCCCGGUGUAGUGGUGAAAUGCGUAGAUAUCGGGAGGAGCACCAGUGGCGAAGGCGACUUCCUGGCCUGUUCUUGACGCUGAGGCGCGAAAGCUAGGGUAGCAAACGGG